GUUUAAUUCCAGUUUAUCCUGCUGGAGGAUGCAGCUAUUUGGUUUGGGUUUAGACAUGCAAGUCUCUCGCAAGAGGGCGAACUGCUCAGUAACACGUAGUUAAUCUAACCUUAGGUCAAGGAUACCCUCGGGAAACUGAGGACAACACUUGAUAGGGGAUUCGAUCUGGAAAGAUAGAUCCCUGAAAUUCGAGCCUAAGGAUGAGACUGCGGAUGAUUAGCUUGUUGGUGGGGUAACUGCCUACCAAGGCGAUGAUCAUUACGGGCUCUUAGCGGAGUUGCCCGGAGAAGGAAUCUGAGACACUAUUCCUAGCUCUACGGAGUGCAGCAGUCGCGGAACUUUUACAAUGCACGCAAGUGUGAUAAAGCGAACCAAAGUGUUUUUCGUUUAGAAAAACUUUUUCUUAGUGUAAAAAUCUAGGAGAAUAAGGACUGGGAAAGACUGGUGCCAGCCGCCGCGGUAAUACCAGCAGUUCAAGUUGCAUCCCUUUUUAUUGGGUCUAAAACAUCCGUAGCUUGAACUGCUGGUA
rnacentral:rRNA from 1 species